rnacentral:rRNA from 1 species
AGGACGAACGCUGGCGGCGUGCUUAACACAUGCAAGUCGAGCGGUGAUCCUCCUUCGGGAGGUGAUCAGCGGCGAACGGGUGAGUAACACGUGGGCAACCUGCCCCUCACACUGGGAUAACCUCGGGAAACCGGGGCUAAUACCGGAUACGACCUCGAGCGGCAUCUCUUGAGGUGGAAAGCUCCGACGGUGAGGGAUGGGCCCGCGGCCUAUCAGCUUGUUGGUGGGGUAAUGGCCUACCAAGGCGACGACGGGUAGCUGGUCUGAGAGGACGAUCAGCCACACUGGGACUGAGACACGGCCCAGACUCCUACGGGAGGCAGCAGUGGGGAAUCUUGCGCAAUGGGCGAAAGCCUGACGCAGCAACGCCGCGUGGAGGACGAAGGCUUUCUGAGUUGUAAACUCCUUUCAGCAGGGACGAUUGUGACGGUACCUGCAGAAGAAGCACCGGCCAACUACGUGCCAGCAGCCC